UGGGGAAUCUUGGACAAUGGGGGCAACCCUGAUCCAGCCAUGCCGCGUGUGUGAAGAAGGCCUUCGGGUUGUAAAGCACUUUCAGCAGGGAGGAAGGCUUACCCCUAAUACGGGUGAGUACUUGACGUUACCUGCAGAAGAAGCACCGGCUAAUUUCGUGCCAGCAGCCGCGGUAAUACGAAAGGUGCAAGCGUUAAUCGGAAUUACUGGGCGUAAAGCGCGCGUAGGCGGUGUGUUAAGUCGGAUGUGAAAGCCCAGGGCUCAACCUUGGAAUUGCAUCCGAUACUGGCACGCUAGAGUGCAGUAGAGGGAGGUGGAAUUUCCGGUGUAGCGGUGAAAUGCGUAGAGAU
rnacentral:rRNA from 1 species